CGCUGACUCAUGGUCAACAUGGUCAAUAUUCUCAAUCAACACAUCUUCCUGAAUUUGGGCACACACAGCAGUCCUCUGCCAUGUCUCAACAUUUGGCUUGUUUACAACCACUCACACACCUUGGACCCCGCUUGCAUGUACUGGUAAACUUUCUAAACAAUGAAGUUUGUCAAACAACAUUAAAUUAUAAGCCCUAUUUUUAGGGUUAAAAUCAUUUUUUUGAACAUUUAUCACAAAGAGCAUCUAUAUUGAUGACAUAAUAAAUUUGAAUUUGUUUAGAAAAGUCUUAGUUUUAACAUGAUACUACUGGAGGCAUUGGUAUUUCUUCAUAUUUUGGCUUUCAUUAUUUGUUAUUUAUUUAUUACAACAUUGUGCUUUGAAAGUCAUUUAAAUCCAAAUACAAACCAAUACUUGGGUAAUUAAAUAUGAAAAAUAAAGUUCGGGUUAGAAUAGUUUCAACACACAGAACAGGUGAAUUGAUGUUUUGUUAUGCUUCAUCUGCUGGAGAACGAGGCAUCCAAGUUAUUAUUGCUGGUGCAGGGGGUGCAGCCUAUUUGCUAGGUUUUAUUCUCUACUUUACUUUUAUUUCUUCCAAAUACAACAAUUUCAUUUUUUUUAUUUUUCAUUUUUUUCCAAAAUUUGUGAUUAGGUAUGGUAGCUACAGAGGCAUCCAAGUUAUUAUUGCUAGUGCAGGGGGUGCAACCUAUUUUCCAUGUUUUAUUCUCUACUUUACUUUUAUUUCUUCUAAAUACAACAAUUUCAAUUUUUUUUCAUUUUUUCCCAAUAUUUGUGAUUAGGUAUGCUAGCUGCAUUGACACCCUUACCUGUCAUUGGAGUUCCUGCGCGUGCUUCAGCAUUAGAUGGUCUUGACUCCCUUCUCUCAAUUGUUCAGGGUUCUGAAGGAGAAACCAAACUUGAGAAAGAGAAAGUGGGAGAUGUAUGUUAGUUGUGGUAGAGCUAACAAAUGGUUCUUCAGAGGAUACUAAAGAGAAAAUCUUGCAAAGGAUAUUUUUUGUUUUAUUUUGCAAAGGAUACCCCUCAUAUUUUCCCAAAUUACCCCUUCCUCUACAAUGUUUUUUUGUUUCUGUGUAUUUUGUGCAUUAGGUAAAGUUGAUGGAAGAAAGGAAUAUGAAGCCACUUGAUUCAAAUCUUGCAGCAUUAUCAGCAAAAUGCAGUAAAGGCUUGGAGUUGAAUUUGGCUAAGUCAUUCUUGAGUGAGACGAGCCAAUGUACAACUGCUUAUCCAUAUAAUCAGCUGCUUGGAGCAUUAGUCUUAAAGAAUUAUGAAAGGCAAGAUGCAACUUUACUUAGUAGGAAUUUGAUGUAGAGUAGAUUAGAUGCAAGUUUAGAUAUUGUAAAAAAUAGAAUUGUAUGACAUUAAAUUUUAUGCAAUGGAUUGUUUUUUUG